UUAAGUGCAUGUGGUGGAUGCCUUGGCAGUCAGAGGCGAUGAAAGACGUGAUAGCCUGCGAAAAGCUCCGGGGAGGCGGCAAAUAUCCUUUGAUCCGGAGAUGUCUGAAUGGGGGAACCCACCUACUUUAAGGUAGGUAUUGCAACAUGAAUACAUAGUGUUGCAAGGCGAACGAGGGGAAGUGAAACAUCUCAGUACCCUUAGGAAAAGAAAUCAAUUGAGAUUCCCUCAGUAGCGGCGAGCGAACGGGGAUCAGCCCAUUAAGUUAUGUGUGUUUUAGUGGAACGCUCUGGGAAGUGCGAACGUAGAGGGUGAUAUUCCCGUACACGAAAGGGCACACAUAAUGAUGACGAGUAGGGCGAGGCACGUGAAACCUUGUCUGAAUAUGGGGGGACCAUCCUCCAAGGCUAAAUACUCCUGACUGACCGAUAGUGAACCAGUACCGUGAGGGAAAGGCGAAAAGAACCCCUGUGAGGGGAGUGAAAUAGAUCCUGAAACCGCAUGCAUACAAGCAGUGGGAGCACCUUCGUGGUGUGACUGCGUACCUUUUGUAUAAUGGGUCAGCGACUUAUAUUCAGUAGCGAGGUUAACCGUAUAGGGGAGCCGUAGAGAAAUCGAGUCUUAAUAGGGCGUUUAGUUGCUGGGUAUAGACCCGAAACCAGGCGAUCUAUCCAUGAGCAGGUUGAAGGUUGGGUAACACUAACUGGAGGACCGAACCCACUGUCGUUGAAAAGCCAGGGGAUGACUUGUGGAUAGGGGUGAAAGGCUAAUCAAGCCUGGUGAUAGCUGGUUCUCCCCGAAAGCUAUUUAGGUAGCGCCUCGGACGAAUACCAUAGGGGGUAGAGCACUGUUUCGGCUAGGGGGUCAUCCCGACUUACCAAACCGAUGCAAACUCCGAAUACCUAUGAGUACUAUCCGGGAGACAGACUGCGGGUGCUAACGUCCGUAGUCAAGAGGAAAACAAUCCAGACCGCCAGCUAAGGCCCCAAAAUCAUAGUUAAGUGGGAAACGAUGUGGGAAGGCAUAGACAGCUAGGAGGUUGGCUUAGAAGCAGCCACCCUUUAAAGAAAGCGUAAUAGCUCACUAGUCGAGUCGGCCUGCGCGGAAGAUGUAACGGGGCUAAAACUAUGUGCCGAAGCUGCGGAUGUAUACUUUGUAUACGUGGUAGGGGAGCGUUCUGUAAGCCGAUGAAGGUGUGUUGAGAAGCAUGCUGGAGGUAUCAGAAGUGCGAAUGCUGACGUGAGUAACGACAAAACGGGUGAAAAACCCGUUCGCCGAAAGACCAAGGGUUCCAGUCCAACGUUAAUCGGGGCUGGGUGAGUCGACCCCUAAGGCGAGGCCGAAAGGCGUAGUCGAUGGGAAAAUGGUUAAUAUUCCAUUACUUCUGUGUAAUGCGAUGAGAGGACGGAGAAGGCUAAAUCAGCCUGGCGUUGGUUGUCCAGGUGAAAGGAUGUAGGCAUGUAUCUUAGGCAAAUCCGGGGUACUCUAUGCUGAGAUCUGAUAGCAAGCUGUACUUGUACAGCGAAGUGGUUGAUGCCAUGCUUCCAGGAAAAGUCUCUAAGCUUCAGUUACACAGGAAUCGUACCCGAAACCGACACAGGUGGUCAGGUCGAGUAGACCAAGGCGCUUGAGAGAACUCUGCUGAAGGAACUAGGCAAAAUGGUACCGUAACUUCGGGAGAAGGUACGCUGUUGUUGGUGAUGGAACUCGCUUCCUGAGCUGACGACAGCCGCAGAAACCAGGCCGCUGCAACUGUUUAUUAAAAACAUAGCACUCUGCAAACACGAAAGUGGACGUAUAGGGUGUGAUGCCUGCCCGGUGCUGGAAGGUUAAUUGAUGGGGUUAGCGUAAGCGAAGCUCUUGAUCGAAGCCCCAGUAAACGGCGGCCGUAACUAUAACGGUCCUAAGGUAGCGAAAUUCCUUGUCGGGUAAGUUCCGACCUGCACGAAUGGCAUAAUGAUGGCGGCGCUGUCUCCAGCAGAGGCUCAGUGAAAUCGAAAUCGCUGUGAAGAUGCAGUGUACCCGCGGCUAGACGGAAAGACCCCGUGAACCUUUACUGCAGCUUGACACUGAACUUUGACCUUACUUGUGUAGGAUAGGUGGGAGGCUUUGAAGCUGGAACGCUAGUUCCAGUGGAGCCGUCCUUGAAAUACCACCCUGGUAAUGUUGAGGUUCUAACUCUGUCCCGUGAUCCGGGACGAGGACCGUGUCUGGUGGGUAGUUUGACUGGGGCGGUCUCCUCCUAAAGAGUAACGGAGGAGUACGAAGGUGCGCUCAGCGUGGUCGGAAAUCACGCGUAGAGUAUAAAGGCAAAAGCGCGCUUAACUGCGAGACCCACAAGUCGAGCAGGUACGAAAGUAGGUCUUAGUGAUCCGGUGGUUCUGUAUGGAAGGGCCAUCGCUCAACGGAUAAAAGGUACUCUGGGGAUAACAGGCUGAUACCGCCCAAGAGUUCAUAUCGACGGCGGUGUUUGGCACCUCGAUGUCGGCUCAUCUCAUCCUGGGGCUGAAGCAGGUCCCAAGGGUAUGGCUGUUCGCCAUUUAAAGAGGUACGCGAGCUGGGUUUAGAACGUCGUGAGACAGUUCGGUCCCUAUCUACCGUGGGCGCUGGAAAUUUGAGAGGAUCUGCUCCUAGUACGAGAGGACCAGAGUGGACGAACCUCUGGUGUACCGGUUGUGACGCCAGUCGCAUCGCCGGGUAGCUAUGUUCGGAAGGGAUAACCGCUGAAAGCAUCUAAGCGGGAAGCCUACCUCAAGAUAAGAUUUCCCUAGGACUUUAUGUCCUCUAAAGAGCCGUUCGAGACUAGGACGUUGAUAGGUUGGAUGUGGAAGCAUAGUGAUAUGUGAAGCUGACCAAUACUAAUUGCUCGUGAGGCUUGACU
rnacentral:rRNA from 9 species